UUUAAGAAAGCUGAUUAUGGAAUGGAAGGGAUCUAUCUCUCCAUCUAUCUCCAAGGAAGCAAGAGAUGGAGAUCGAGAGGGAGUGAGACUGUGAGAGUGAUUGAGCCUUGGAUUCCACUGAGGAGUCCCUUAGAACUAAUAUGAGGAUCCAAAAGCAUUCUCAGAUCUCCCCAAUCUCCUUCUCGCAGUGUCCCACCGAUGUGUGCAGCAGCAGCAGAAGCAGAAGAAGAGUGGGUCUUGAGACAUAUGUGUGUGAGCUCAAUAGGUCUCCUUGGGAUGUGAUGGCCUUCUUUCCCCAAACGGACGUCCCUUAGUCUUACCAGAAGACGAAUACCUUUACCACCAGGUUUUCUUUCUUUAGAUCGAUCGGCAAAAAUGCCCUCUCCUGAGUCCUGACUCAUCCCUUGCGCGACGACCAAAAACGUCUUACUUUAUCCGUCUCUGUAUUAUUUUACAUUUGGCGUCUAGGGUUUCCGUGUUUGCGACUGUCUGUUCUCGGCCGCGUUGGAAUUUGAGUAAACCCUAAGUCCCAUUGUUUUCAUAUUAAUUUCUCUUGGUUCACCUGAGGGUAUCGUUGCAGGAAUUGGAAGCGCGGCCCAAUGCCCUGUCGCUGUGGAGAGGAAGAGAGAGCAACAAUUGAAAGAAGGAAUGGCGAGCUGCAACAAGACGAAGUGUAUGAGAGAGGCGAAAGAAGGGCAUUCGUUGUGCGAGCAGCACCUCACGCAGCUUAGGUCCUGCUCUUACCACCACAAUCCCAUCCACUCUUCAACCACCAAGAAAUCUUCUAACAGAGUUGUGGCGUCGUCGACAUUGUCUGAGUUCUAUUACUAUUCUGGGUUUGGUGGGCCUCUAUGGGGGAAGAAGAGGGGAGGAGCUGUAGCAGCAGGUGGAACAGUAAGAGUUGCAAGAACAGAUAGCCAGAAGAAAGAGAGAAAGUGAGUUGUUUCUGGAGAAUCUGUGCCUUCCCCUCCUCAAAUCACUGCCCCAUUAUCUUCACCAUCUUCAUCCCAUCUUGAUAAUUAUCUUAAUGGUAAGGCCGAUGACGUUGAUUCCAUUUACGAAGGCGAUAUUAGAAGGAAGAGAGUUCGUAAGCCGGUGAAAGCUAGGUCGCUUAAAUCUCUUCUUUGAAUGAUAGAAAGGUUUCUCAGAGGUGUGACUCGGGAAUAUAAAACUUUUUUUUUUUUUUUAAGAUGAAAUAUAUAAAGUUUGAGAAAGAAAAAGAAAAUAAAAGAAAAGAAAAGAAAAGAAAAGGGCAUUUGAUGAUGUACUCCACUUUUAUAGUUUAUUAUUGUGGUCAACCUCAACCAUCGCAUCGUGUUUUGGUUGAACUAUUCUAACUUUAGAAAACUAUUAUGAUCUUUUUUUUUUUUUUUUUUUACGACGGGGUUAACAUUAUGAUCUUUUUAUGGUAUUAGUAUCGGACACAUAUCGGGAUUGAUACUGUUA